GGUUCUAUGCGAAGAAACAAACGUUUGAAUUAACAGAUAUACAGCCAUUUUAAUUUAUUAUUUUGCGAUGACACGAGAUUUCGGGUAUUCGUCCAUCAGACAGCAGCGAAACAAACAGUGAAAAACAUAAUUCCCAUCAGACAAACUUACUAGUGUAAAGUAAGCCGUCGAUGAUAGCCGGGGCUAAUAUUCAUGAAGGCAGCAACUUGUGUAUACUAGUAGAAAAA
rnacentral:lncRNA from 1 species